rnacentral:rRNA from 1 species
UUUAUGGAGAGUUUGAUCCUGGCUCAGGAUGAACGCUGGCGGCGUGCCUAAUACAUGCAAGUCGAGCGAACAGACGGGGAGCUUGCUCCCCCGACGUUAGCGGCGGACGGGUGAGUAACACGUGGGUAACCUACCUAUAAGACUGGAAUAACUCCGGGAAACCGGGGAUAAUGCCGGAUAACAUGUUGGACCGCAUAGUCCUACAGUGAAAGACGGU